GAAGAGGGUCCUGCUGAGGUUGUUGUUACAUUCCAGUGAUGAGGAAGAGGGUCCUGCUGAGGUUGUUGUUACAUUCCAGUGAUGAGGAAGAGGGUCCUGCUGAGGUUGUUGUUACAUUCCAGUGAUGAGGAAGAGGGCCCUGCUGAGGUUGUUGUUACAUUCCAGUGAUGAGGAAGAGGGCCCUGCUGAGGUUGUUGUUACAUUCCAGUGAUGAGGAAGAGGGCUCUGCUGAGGUUGUUGUUACAUUCCAGUAAUGAGGAAGAGGGCCCUGCUGAGGUUGUUGUUACAUUCCAGUGAUGAGGAAGAGGGCCCUGCUGAGGUUGUUGUUACAUUCCAGUGAUGAGGAAGAGGGCCCUGCUGAGGUUGUUGUUACAUUCCAGUAAUGAGGAAGAGGGCCCUGCUGAGGUUGUUGUUACAUUCCAGUGAUGAGGAAGAGGGCCCUGCUGAGGUUGUUGUUACAUUCCAGUGAUGAGGAAGAGGGCCCUGCUGAGGUUGUUGUUACAUUCCAGUGAUGAGGAAGAGGGCCCUGCUGAGGUUGUUGUUACAUUCCAGUGAUGAGGAAGAGGGCCCUGCUGAGGUUGUUGUUACAUUCCAGUGAUGAGGAAGAGGGCCCUGCUGAGGUUGUUGUUACAUUCCAGUGAUGAGGAAGAGGGCCCUGCCGAGGUUGUUGUUUCAUUCCAGUGAUGAGGAAGAGGGCCCUGCUGAGGUUGUUGUUACAUUCCAGUGAUGAGGAAGAGGGCCCUGCCGAGGUUGUUGUUACAAUCCGGCCAUAGAAUGGGAAUAUGUCCUUGUCUUCAUCCCCACCUAAGAGGAGAGGUCGGCUGUCGGCUGAAAAUGUUAUCAGGAUGACCCUAGGGCCAAACGAGAUACGCCAUAUCCGGGGGCGAUGACAUGAAAUCCUGCUUCAAACUGUUCCUGACAGAUUCAAUCGAAACUAUAGUGAUAAACAUGACGAACUUGGAGGGGAGACGCGAUUACAAAGACAACUGGAAGGAGGUAGACCAGACAGACGUCCAAGCAGACAUGGGUCUCUUGAUUUUGGUGGGGUGUACAGAUCCAGAAACAAAUCAACCACCAGUUUAUGGGAUGCAGAGUCUGGUCGGGCAAUUUUUCGUGCCACUAUGUCACUCCAGACAUUUCACGUGUUGUCACGAAUGAUUCGCUUCAACAACCGGGAUACAAGACCAGGCCUGUGUCAACAAGACAUGCUGGCAGCGAUCAGAGAGGUUUCGCACAAGUGGGUGGAGCGUCUGCCACUCAUCUAUAACCCAAGUCCAGAUAUCGCAGUAGAUGAGCGUCUGAUCGCUUUUAGGGGACACUGCCCAUUCAAACAGUACAUGCCAAGCAAACUGUCUAAAUAUGGAAUAAAGAUAUGGGCUGCAUGUGAUGCCAGGACAAGUUAUGCCUGGAAUCUGCCGACGGUGUUCCCGAAAGGAGCCAGGGGAAGCGGGUGGUCCUGGAAAUGACUGCAGGUCUCCAGGGGCACAGCAUAACAUGUGACAAUUUCUGCAAUUUCUGCUCUUGGUCAGGAGCUGCUCCAAAAGAAAUGACCAUGUUGGGGACUGUCAGAAGGUACAAGCCUGAGUUACCCACUGCUUUACUCACUACCAAGGACAGGGAUCGUUUUUCCUCUAAAUCUGCCUUCACCGAUACACAGAUUUGUGUGUCCUACUGUCCGAAGAAAAAGAAGAAUGUGCUCCUGAUGACAACUCUGCACAGCGAUGCCUCUGUGAGUAUCAGGGGGGACAGGAAGCCCAAAUCUGUCCUGGAUUACAACAGGAACAAAGGGGGAGUUGACAACCUUGAUGAGGUUACUGGCACAUACUCUUGUAAGAGGAUGACGGCACGUUGGCUCAUGGGGGUGUUCUUCAAUAUCCUAGAUGUGUCGGCCUACAAGGCGUUUGUGGUGUGGAUGGAGGUGAUUUCAUGCUGGAAGCAGGGGAAAUUAUUCAAGAGGAGACUAUUCCUAGAAGAGUUGGGGAAAGCCAUGGUGGCACCCUUCAUUCAAAGGCACAAACACCUUCCUCCAACACCAUCCUCUGCUGGAUUGGUGAGAGAUAUACAAGGGCCAGAAGCAAGAUCUACGGCCGCCAGAGACAGAAGAGACAAAAGGAAGAGGUGCAAUCUGUGUGCACCAAGGGAUGUCAAAACGAGCAUCCUGUGCCAUAAAUGUAGUGCACAUGCAACAACCACCACGUAUUGUACAACAUGUGCAUGAGAACCCAAAAAAAUGUAACCACCAUUGAUUGACAGAUUGUGAACGUUUUCAUGUUUUUGUUAUUGUUGGUAAUACUGUUAUUGUUACUGUUGUUAUUUAAUGUGUUCAGACAUUAAUUUUAUAAUAUGGUAAAGUUUUCAUAUGUUGUUUUGGGCAUGUCCUUUCUUUACUAAUAAAAUCAUACCGGUCAGUUUUGACCGGGAACACAACAGAUGUUAUUUUGUGCCACUUGAAAAAAAAUGAAAUGGUUUCAAAACAAAUGUUCUUGUUAAACUUUGACACAAGUAGUCUGUGAUAAAUAGCACAAUAUGUUUCAUCUGAAUAUUUGUUGUAGUCAAAAUAAUCCAUACAUUAUGCUUUUUUACUCAAAAACUGUCACCCGCUGACCUUAGUUAUCUUUGUUUUCUUUAUUAUUUUGGUUCGGUCAGGGUGUGACGAGGUUGGUAUGUGUGUUUUGUCUUUUCUAAGGUUUUUGUAUAUCUAUGGGGUUUUGGUAUGUCUAGGUAAAUGUACGUCUAUGGUGGCCUGAAUUGGUUCCCAAUCAGAGGCAGCUGUUUAUCGUUGUCUCUGAUUGGGGAUCCUAUUUAGGUUGCCAUUUUCCAUUUUGGUUUUGUGGGUUAUUGUCUAUGUGUAGUUGCCUGUCAGCACUCGUGUUGUAUAGUGUCAUGGUUUGUUGUUGUUGUUGUUGUUGUUGUUGUUGUUGUUGUUGUUGUUGUUGUUAGUUUGUUUAGUGUUCUUCGUGUAAUAAAAGAAGAAUGUAUUCGUA